rnacentral:rRNA from 1 species
UGAGUUGCGAACGGGUGAGUAACGCGUAGGUAACCUGCCUGGUAGCGGGGGAUAACUAUUGGAAACGAUAGCUAAUACCGCAUAACAGUAGAUAUCGCAUGAUGACUGCUUAAAAGGUGCAACUGCACCACUACCAGAUGGACCUGCGUUGUAUUAGCUAGUUGGUGAGGUAACGGCUCACCAAGGCAACGAUACAUAGCCGACCUGAGAGGGUGAUCGGCCACACUGGGACUGAGACACGGCCCAG